rnacentral:tRNA from 1 species
AUUUGAAUAGCUUAUUAUUAGAGCAUAACAUUGAAGAUGUUAAGGUGGCUAGUAGUCUUUAAAUA